UACGUAGGGGGCAAGCGUUGUCCGGAUUUAUUGGGCGUAAAGAGCGUGUAGGCGGUUCGGUAGGUCCGUUGUGAAAACUCGAGGCUCAACCUCGAGACGCCGAUGGAAACCCCCGAACUAGAGUCCGGAAGAGGAGAGUGGAAUUCACGGUGUAGCGGUGAAAUGCGCAGAUAUCGGGAAGAACACCCGUGGCUAAGGCGGCUCUCUAGUACGGUACUGACGCUGAGACGCGAAAGCGUGGGGAGCGAACAGG
rnacentral:rRNA from 1 species